GGGCCCGCACAAGCGGCGGAGCAUGUUGCUUAAUUCGAGGCAACGCGAAGAACCUUACCAGGCCUUGACAUCCUCGGAACAAUCUAGAGAUAGAUUGGUGCCUUCGGGAACCGAGUGACAGGUGCUGCAUGGCUGUCGUCAGCUCGUGUCGUGAGAUGUUGGGUUAAGUCCCGUAACGAGCGCAACCCUUGUCCUUAGUUGCCAGCAUUUUAGUUGGGGACUCGUAGGAGACUCCGGGGUCAACUCGGAGGAAGGUGGGGAUGACGUCAAAUCAUCACCGGCCCUUACGUCCUGGGCCACACACGUGCUACAAUGGCCGGUACAGAGAGCAGCCACGUCGCAAGGCGGAG
rnacentral:rRNA from 1 species